rnacentral:rRNA from 1 species
UCCGGUGACCAUAGCGGAGAGGAUACACCCGUUCCCAUACCGAACACGGAAGUUAAGCUCUCCAGCGCCGAUGGUACUUGGGCUUGUCCCUGGGAGAGCAGGCCGUUGCCGGACU